AAUAAACCCUGAUUUUUCAUGUACAAUGUUUGACCAUUCGUCUUAUUUGAAAAAGUUAUGAAAAAAAAUUUAAAAAAGCAAGUCACGCAUAAAGUAUUAAUUAUGUUUUAUCAUCUAACAACAAUAAAACUACUAAUUAUAAAAAAUUCUAUAUAAGACGGACAGUCAAACGUUAAACACGGAAACUUAGGUUUUAUU
rnacentral:pre_miRNA from 1 species